UUGCCAUUGGUAAAGAGAAAACAAAAGAGGACUUGGUAACAGCCAAACCCUACAAUCCAACGUCCAAUACCAAAAUGAAAUUGGAUCUGCCGCUGCACCUACUUCCGACGCAACACCGGUACUCCAACCUCAUCCUCGCCGUCUGGAAAUUGUGAAGUAUCAACACAGCGACACGUCUGCGAAGUCAACACGGACGCGCAUCAAACUCAUGCGUCACGGCGUCGUUAUUAGGUUCUUCAUCAUGCGCGCUUGAUUCGCGGACUUGAGCUUUGACCUUCCUUGCACUAGCUCACGUCAUCGCUUUGUAACCGUCGCAGAUCCAAAGUUCACGGGUUUGUAAUGUUAACUUCACUCCUAUCGCUAAUGUACGCGCAAACAGCGCAAACAGAAAGAAAAAUGGCGCAUCAAAAAACUCACCAGAAUGUCGUCCUGAACAGGUCUUUUGGAAGGCUCAACAAAGGUCGUUAUGAGGUGAAGGAAUUGCAAUGGAGGUUCUGGAGUGCAGAGUGAGGUGAUGUUGGCAAGGAAGAGUUUGCAGAAUGGUGGAGAAAAAGCAAAGAAGAAAACCUCUCGAUUGAAGGCAGGUCGAGGUCGAAGCUGCAUUUUUGCGUUAGAGCUUUGUUGUUUCUUCCUUUAUACAGUUGUCAUUUUGGAUGCACUUUGCUGCGUGUAUAGUGUUUACGUUUUGUAUCUCUUUCCGUGUAUCAUUUCCGUGUAUCAUUUCCGUUUCUGCAAAUAGCACUUUGCACUGCAACGCCACUGUUCCGUUUCACUGCAAUUGAAUUCUUCUAUUGCUUUA